UCCGUGGUGGCUCAGAUGGUAAAGUGUCUGCCUGCAAUGCGGAAGACCCAGGUUUGAUCCCUGGGUGGGGAA
rnacentral:tRNA from 1 species